rnacentral:rRNA from 1 species
CCUUUGACGUUAGCGGCGGACGGGUGAGUAACACGUGGGUAACCUACCUAUAAGACUGGGAUAACUUCGGGAAACCGGAGCUAAUACCGGAUAAUAUUUCGAACCGCAUGGUUCGAUAGUGAAAGGUGGUUUUGCUAUCACUUAUAGAUGGACCCGCGCCGUAUUAGCUAGUUGGUAAGGUAACGGCUUACCAAGGCGACGAUACGUAGCCGACCUGAGAGGGUGAUCGGCCACACUGGAACUGAGACACGGUCCAGACUCCUACGGGAGGCAGCAG